UACGUAGGGUCCGAGCGUUGUCCGGAAUUAUUGGGCGUAAAGAGCUCGUAGGCGGUCUGUCGCGUCGGCUGUGAAAACUCGGGCUCAACCCGAGCCUGCAGUCGAUACGGCAGACUAGAGUUCGGUAGGGAGACUGGAAUUCCUGGUGUAGUGGUGAAAUGCGCAGAUAUCAGGAGGAACACCGGUGGCGAAGGCGGGUCUCUGGGCCGAUACUGACGCUGAGGAGCGAAAGCGUGGGAGCAA
rnacentral:rRNA from 1 species